GAUGAAGAACGUAGCGAAAUGCGAUAAGUAAUGUGAACUGCAGAAUCCAGUGAAUCAUCGAAUCUUUGAACGCACAUUGCGCCCGCCAGCAUUCUGGCGGGCAUGCCUGUUCGAGCGUCAUUUCAACCCUCAUGCCCCUAGGGCGUGGUGUUGGGGAUCGGCCAAAGCCCGCGAGGGACGGCCGGCCCCUAAAUCUAGUGGCGGACCCGUCGUGGCCUCCUCUGCGAAGUAGUGAUAUUCCGCAUCGGAGAGCGAUGAGCCCCUGCCGUUAAACCCCCAACUUUCCAAGGUUGACCUCAGAUCAGGUAGGAAUACCCGCUGAACUUAAGCAUAUCAAUAAGCGGAGGA
rnacentral:misc_RNA from 1 species